UACGAAGGGGGCUAGCGUUGCUCGGAAUUACUGAGCGUAAAGCGCACGUAGGCGGUCUUUUAAGUCGGUGGUGAAAUCCUGGAGCUCAACUCCAGAACUGCCUUCGAUACUGGAAGACUUGAGUCCGGGAGAGGUGAGUGGAACUGCGAGUGUAGAGGUGAAAUUCGUAGAUAUUCGCAAGAACACCAGUGGCGAAGGCGGCUCACUGGCCCGGUACUGACGCUGAGGUGCGAAAGCGUGGGGAGCAAACAGG
rnacentral:rRNA from 1 species